rnacentral:tRNA from 1 species
AGGGUAAAUGGCGUAGGAAGAGCGUGUAUGAUUUCGGCUCAUAAGGUACUAAUUUGUUUUACUCUA